AUCUCUACCUGGAGACCACUUCUCUUGGAGCCCUUCCGGGAGCCCAGGACGUGGUUCCUGCGUGCCUGAGGUCUCUGACCACACAGAGCGAGCUCCAGCUUCUGGGUGAGCCCCAAACUGUGAGGAUCUGGGCCUUGGUUAACACCUCGCAACAAAGGAAAUGGCUUACCAAACUGCACAGCUUUCUGCACGUAUAUUUUUGGCAGUGUCAAAACCUGCUGCUUUAUUGUUGUCACGCUCCAUAGGAUCUGCAAGUGUUUUGUAACAUAAACAUACUGAAGUUUAUGGUAUUGCCUUGCUGCAAACCUACAUCUAGAGAACUCAGCAGAAAAGCAUUUCCAUAACUUCCUGAUCACUUUCUUAAGAGGUGGACUUUUUCUUUUUACGUAUAGCUGCUUCUAUAUUUGCAGUGCAGUUUGAGAUAAGCCCCUUGAUGAAUGAAGCCACUAAGGGAAACAGUGGGCUGGUGCAAGUGGUUGGGAAUUUCCUGGCAGAAGAACAACAGCAAAACCACAGCGCAAGGAAGUGUGCACCUGGAGCUAUGGGACAGAGAGCCUGUGAGCUCAGUAAGGACUGGGUACUGAAAAGUGCCUUAACCACCAGCUGUUGCUGAGACAGUGUGGUGGGGCUACUGUGGUUGUCAAGAUCAGGAACCAAGUAUGUGGUGGGCAUGCCGUCUUUAAGUGAAAAGGGCUUUCAGCUGGAGAAGGAGUGUGCUUGAGGAAUGCCAUUUUGACAGCCUGAUCAGGUUCUGCUCUGGAAAACCAGACCAGGAGCGGUGGCAGCAAUGUGUUUGGGAAGGGGUCUGUGACCCUCUGAGGACGUGAGCAGCAGCCAGCAGCAGGUCUUCUGGGCUGUCAUGGUCGCAGUGAGCUUCUAACCCAAUGAGUCGAGCGCUCUGCGCAGGAAAGCAGUUCCAAGUAAGCAAGUGAAUUUUUCAUUUUGAAAGAUGUGCGUUUUGGAGUGGUACGCUUUUCAAUAUGUUGUUUACUGUAAACUGAUACUAAAUGUGACCUGGAUUUGGAUGCGUUCUUGUUUUGGACUUAAAUGGAUGAGUAUCCAUUUUGCUUUGGAUUAAUCAUUUUUUGCAUGUGUGCCAGUGGCAGCCUUUGGUGCUGGCAGCGGCCGGUGGUCCUCACUCUGGUCGUUGUGACAACUGACUUCAUGUCCUGCAGCUGCAUGGCACUGUUUCUUUUGGCACUUGUACCAGCUCGUUUCUCUGAGUGAGUCUUCCAUUCAGAAUCGCUGCUUGCUAGCAAAUGUAGAAUGAUUCAGUCCAUUUUCUGUUAGCUUAGUUAUUGUUUGUGCCAGCCUGGCUAUCUCCAUUCAAGAAAACAGUCCAACUCCAAUACUGAAUUGUAAGAUCUUAGAAGUCAACUGAAAGAUGGGUUUGGUCGGUCCCUUUAUCCUUCCAGUUGAGGUUAACUAAGAACAAAACUUCAGAGGAUGUAGUUUGUGUAUAAAUACCACAAAGAGACUACUUAUAAGGCAGUCUUUGCCCUUGUGGUUGUUGAAAUCAGAGUGAUCUGUAGAGUGGAAGAGACGGAUGGGUGGAAUGCCUGAUUUCUGUUCCCAUUUCUGACUUCAGCAUAACUAAAUUGGCCUGCACAGAGAAAAAUAAACUGGGUGUGUUUCC
ensembl:lncRNA